UGUGGAUGACAAGUACGCGAAUUUUACAAUUAAAUCGCAAUACACGUUGUUUUAUAAAAAGUUAUACAGUAUACACUGUAAACGGUAAUUAAGUGUAAGGGCAAACGUAUAUGUAUGGUAUUAUGCCUUAUAAAACACAUUAGUGUAGUAGUGUAAAACACUAUACAGCUGCUUGAAGGAAACAAAAGCUAAACGUUUAUUGGAAGUUUCGCGAUGCAUUUUAUUUAUUUCCGAGUUUUCGUGUUCUGUAUAGCCGUUCUAUCUCGCUCGCCUCUUUUACAACAGUGCAUAUUUCGGCUCGUUUCCGAAUUCCUCGGCUUCCGCGCCGUCCGUGAACUAUGGCCGCGAUGUAAUAACAUCCUAUCAAGGAUAUAUUUUGCUGCUGCUGUCGUCUUUUUCGUUUCAAUAUAAUUUACAUUUUUUUUUACGUUACAAAUGUCUCGCGUACCGACGACGACGACAGUGCGUCUCACCGAGACCGUUUACAACAGUGUACAGCUAACAAUAUAGACGGGGUCGUCGUAAUGAAUAAAACUAGUCGACUCGUCCUAAAUGAUGUAGUUAAGUAUAAUAAUAUAUAUAUUCAUCGGUAAAACUACGACAAAACAUAUACGCACACAGACAAUACACUACAUAAAAAAUAAUGUCAGUGAUAAGCAUCGUUUUGUGACCCGAGAAUGUAAUUUCCCUUAUCUCGUUUUGGUUUAUACCGCAUCGCCGCUGCCGCA